CACUCCUACGGGAGGCAGCAGUGGGGAAUAUUGGACAAUGGGCGCAAGCCUGAUCCAGCCAUGCCGCGUGAGUGAUGAAGGCCCUAGGGUUGUAAAGCUCUUUCACCGGUGAAGAUAAUGACGGUAACCGGAGAAGAAGCCCCGGCUAACUUCGUGCCAGCAGCCGCGGUAAUACGAAGGGGGCUAGCGUUGUUCGGAUUUACUGGGCGUAAAGCGCACGUAGGCGGACUAUUAAGUCAGGGGUGAAAUCCCGGGGCUCAACCCCGGAACUGCCUUUGAUACUGGUAGUCUUGAGUUCGAGAGAGGUGAGUGGAAUUCCGAGUGUAGAGGUGAAAUUCGUAUAUAUUCGGAGGAACACCAGUGGCGAAGGCGGCUCACUGGCUCGAUACUGACGCUGAGGUGCGAAAGCGUGGGGAGCAAACAGGAUUAGAAACCCUGGUAGUCCCAUGAU
rnacentral:rRNA from 1 species